rnacentral:misc_RNA from 1 species
AACGCACCUUGCGCCCUUUGGUAUUCCGAAGGGCAUGCCUGUUUGAGUGUCAUGAAAUCUCACCUAAGGGUUUCCUUAGUGUGGACGUGGUCGUUGCCGUUGGCUCGACUUAAAUGACCCAGCGGUGGACGUGUAGUAGGCGUAAUAAGUUUCGUCUACGAUAGUGGUCGCUGCUCAGAACCCCCCCUAUUUUAUGCUCUGACCUCAAAUCAGGUAGGACUACCCGCUGAACUUAA